rnacentral:rRNA from 1 species
UGAGGAAUCUUGGACAAUGGGGGAAACCCUGAUCCAGCCAUGCCGCGUGAGCGAUGAAGGCCCUAGGGUUGUAAAGCUCUUUUACCCGUGAAGAUUAUGACGGUAGCGGGAGAAAAAGCCCCGGCUAACUCCGUGCCAGCAGCCGCGGUAAGACGGAGGGGGCAAGCGUUGCUCGGAAUCACUGGGCGUAAAGCGUGCGUAGGCGGCCAGGCAAGUCAGAAGUGAAAGCCCAGGGCUCAACCCUGGAAUUGCUUUUGAAACUGCCGGGCUCGAGUUCGGGAGAGGUGAGCGGAAUUCCCAGUGUAGAGGUGAAAUUCGUAGAUAUUGGGAAGAACACCAGUGGCGUAGGCGGCUCACUGGACCGACACUGACGCUGAGGCACGAAAGCGUGGGUAGCAAACA